AUUGAACGCUGGCGGCAGGCUUAACACAUGCAAGUCGAGCGGGGGAAGUUGCUUCGGUAACUGACUUAGCGGCGGACGGGUGAGUAAUGCUUAGGAAUCUGCCUAUUAGUGGGGGACAACAUCUCGAAAGGGAUGCUAAUACCGCAUACGUCCUACGGGAGAAAGCAGGGGAUCUUCGGGCCUUGCGCUAAUAGAUGAGCCUAAGUCGGAUUAGCUAGUUGGUGGGGUAAAGGCCUACCAUGGCGACGAUCUGUAGCUGGUCUGAGAGGAUGAUCAGCCACACCGGGACUGAGACACGGCCCGG
rnacentral:rRNA from 1 species